GGUUGACCUCGGAUCAGGUAGGAGUUACCCGCUGAACUUAAGCAUAUCAAUAAGCGGAGGAACAGCCCAGCGCCGCCCCUCGCGGCGACAUCGCGCCU
rnacentral:rRNA from 1 species